UACAGAGGUCUCAAGCGUUGUUCGGAUUCAUUGGGCGUAAAGAGCUGCGUAGGCGGUGUGUCGCGUCGGCCGUGAAAACCUGCAGCUUAACUGUGGCGUGCGGUCGAUACGGGCAUCACUGGAGUUCGGACAGGGGAGACUGGAAUUCCUGGUGUAGCGGUGAAAUGCGCAGAUAUCAGGAGGAACACCUAUAGCGAAGGCAGCUUACUACACAGUAAUUGACACUGAGGCACGAAAGCGUGGGGAGCAAACAGG
rnacentral:rRNA from 1 species